AAAUUGAAGAGUUUGAUCAUGGCUCAGAUUGAACGCUGGCGGCAGGCCUAACACAUGCAAGUCGAACGGUAACAGGAAGCAGCUUGCUGCUUUGCUGACGAGUGGCGGACGGGUGAGUAAUGUCUGGGAAACUGCCUGAUGGAGGGGGAUAACUACUGGAAACGGUAGCUAAUACCGCAUAAC
rnacentral:rRNA from 2 species